GCAUUAGAGGGUGACAUAAUGUCAAUCGUAUUCCAUGUAGCGGCAUCUCAUGGGCAACUAGUUUUCUACCAAAUCUUAAGAAGCUCAAAUUCUUCGACACUAGUUUGGCAUGGAGUGAUAUGAGGCUUAUUGGUAUGUAGCAAAAUCUAGAGGUUCUAAAACUGAUAAAUGCUAUUGCUAGCAAAGACACAAUGUGGGAACCAUCCGAGGAUGGGUUCCAUCAAUUGAAAAGAUUGGUAAUUCAAGAUACAUUUUUGGAACGUUGGAAUGCUGUGGGUAACAAUUUCCCUGUGCUAGAAUGUUUAGAGUUACGUAAGUGCGAUUCCUUGCAAGAGAUUCCUAGUGGUUUUGCGGAUAUCACGACACUAGCACUGAUUCUGUUAAACUUGUGUUGGGAUUCCGUUCUGGCUUCCGCAAAGUUGAUUCAAGAAGAGCAAUACAACAACUAUGGAAAUGCCCUCCUUGUUUGUUCGGAAAAUAUUAUGACGAAACAAAACGUGUAAACAACAAAGAGUAAGAAUUGGAUGUGGAGGAAGAGAGUGAUCUUUUGGUGGAUUAGGCUGCAGAUAGCACUUUGGGCUGUUUCUAUCUGGAAGACUGGAAAUCGAUCAAUGCCAG